ensembl:lncRNA
CGACUCCUUGGGGGCGUCCUCGCAGUGCGGGUGGGGGGCGGGCCAGAGGGAGCGUCCCUCUCAGAGACACCCUCCUCUCCUACCCGCCACGCGCUCUUCGCUGGCCUGUGGGACACAGGCCUCCCCCCCACCUCCCCUUCUCGGCCUUCGCGAGUGUGGGCGCCUCGGGGCACUGGCGAGCCGCUCCAGAAAAGGAAACUGAGGCCCAGGCAGAGGGAGGAGAGGCAGCUGUGGCGUGCAGUGGCGUGCAGAGCAAGGGAUUGGUGAACAGAGAAAGGGAUCGCAGCUCCCCACCAGACUUGACUUUUCAUAUGCCAGGAUGGAUGGGGAGCAGAGGCGAAAUGUGGGUGCACACCAAUACUGUCUAAAUAAGGCAGGCGGCAGCUAUACUGAAGAAUCUACCUAAGUUUUCAGCAAGAAGACUCUCAAAAGAUCUCAGAGCUAGGCUAUUUCUGGUGAUCACAGGAAGAAGAAAAUGCACCUAUAGAAACCCAGAAGCUCGUAUGUACAUUUAGCUAUUCACACGAGCAUGCUUACACACAGGCACACAAACGUAUGCACGUUUCUGACAUUUACAGACCUGGGCUUUCUCAUUUUUACCUCCCCUGAAAAAGCAACUUCUGUUUAUACCUCAUCUCCGUUCCACACUCCCCUUCACACAAACAAUCCUCAAGUCUUGAACUAAAGGAAUAUUACAAAUUUAAAAAAAGAAGAUGACUUCACAGGGGCAAAUUGGGAACUUGCAAUUACACUAAAAGACAGAACUGCAUCAAAACUGACUUUCUGGAGGUUAUCAUACGUUGGUAGAAGAGAGGGGUUAAGUAUCCCAGGCAGGGAGUCAAGCCCUCAAAAGGAAGACAACCAGAACCCUCAUCCAGGUAUUCGAGAUCACAACUCUGCUGAGAAAUACAUCGUGGUUUCAGUUUCCCCUUUACCUCUGGCAAAGAACACUGUGGUCAUGACCUGGGAACAGUGGGCAGAACUUGGAGCCAGGUGCCAGAGGAUGCCCCACCCUGCCCGUCAGAGUCCACCUCUCACCAAAAGCAAGAGCAGCCCUCUCAACCCAAACCACACUUCAGGGUUGGGUAUGUGGGUCCCUGUGUGGUUCCAUUUCCUUUGGCAUCCCUUCAGGAUUCACAAGGGAGGUUUUGAGGCUUAUGAGGGUGGUGUCUCUGCCCUUUGGGUCACUUGGCCCUUAGAAGUAUGGGCAACCUUUGGCAGGCUAGACAUGGCACAUGGCUAAUAAUUAAUAAUAACUGCUUUUACUGUGCCUGCAUGCAUGCUAAGUCGCUUCAGUUGUCUCUGACUCUGCGACCCCAUGGGCUGUAGCCCGCCAGGCUCCUCUGUCCAUAGGAUUCUCCAGGCAAGCAUCCUGGAGUGGGGUGCCAUGCCCUCCUCUGGGCAAUCUUCCCAUCCCAGGGGUCAAACCCACUUCUCUUACGUCUCCUGUAUUGGCAGGUGGGCUCCUUACCCUAGUGCCACCUGGGAAGUCCUCAUUAAAUGACUGGCACUGCAAUACAUUUUUUCCUAGGUUGUUUCAUUCGAUCCUCAUAGAAACUGGGAGGUAAGUCACAUAAACAUCCCCAUUUUAUCUAUGAGGCAUGGAGAGCUUGUCACUUGUCCAAAGUCCCACAGGUACAGGAUGGCAGAGCUGGAAUACAUAUCCAGGUUGACAUGAUGCUGAAGCCUUUCAUUGCAAAUAUACUGCCUUCAAGCAAUGAGGGAAACCAUCUACUGUCAUCCAGGCAACUGCGUAGGUUGGGGUCCUUCAGGAAACAGGGCACACUCCCAUGGGGUAAUUGAGGAAUGUCUAAUGAAGAGUCUAUUUAAGAAGGUAUGGGCAGGGUUAAAGGCAAACCAACAGGGGCAGGGAAACAUCCCAACCGUAGUCACUGCAGGGAUCCUGUUCCCAUCCCCUGGGGCUGAGGACGGCGGCAAGCAAAGAGAGUGGUUCCUCGAACCCAGAGAAACUGAAGUUGUUGCAAAGAGUGGAGAGGCCCACCUUUCAUGAACCCUGGCCUUGGGUAAGGAAGCCAACCUGAGCUGACUUGGCAGGGAAGGAGCGGGGGACAGAAAACCUGAUCUCAUCUUUCUCCCUCCAAGCUCUGCGAGGACUUUCGAUUGACCAAAUCCUAUGAGAAAUGGAAGGUAAGAGAGCCCGUUCAAUUCAGUUCAGUCGCUCAGUCGUGUCCGACUCUUUGCGACCCCAUGAAUCGCAGCAUGCCAUGCCUCCCUAUCCAUCACCAACUCCCGGAGUUCACUCAAACUCACGUCCAUCGAGUCGGUGAUGCCAUCCAGCCAUCUCAUCCUCUGUUGUCCCCUUCUCCUCCUGCCCCCAAUCCCUCCCAGCAUCAGAG